rnacentral:rRNA from 1 species
GAUGAACGCUGGCGGCGUGCCUAAUACAUGCAAGUCGAGCGAACAGACGAGGAGCUUGCUCCUCUGACGUUAGCGGCGGACGGGUGAGUAACACGUGGAUAACCUACCUAUAAGACUGGGAUAACUUCGGGAAACCGGAGCUAAUACCGGAUAAUAUAUUGAACCGCAUGGUUCAAUAGUGAAAGACGGUUUUGCUGUCACUUAUAGAUGGAUCCGCGCCGCAUUAGCUAGUUGGUAAGGUAACGGCUUACCAAGGCAACGAUGCGUAGCCGACCUGAGAGGGUGAUCGGCCACACUGGAACUGAGACACGGUCCAUACUCCUACGGGAGGCAGCAGUAGGGAAUCUUCCGCAAUGGGCGAGAGCCUGACGGAGCAACGCCGCGUGAGUGAUGAAGGUCUUCGGAGCGUAAAACUCUGUUAUUAGGGAAGAACAAAUGUGUAAGUAACUAUGCACGUCUUGACGGUACCUAAUCAGAAAGCCACGGCUAACUACGUG